rnacentral:rRNA from 1 species
GAUGAACGCUAGCUACAGGCUUAACACAUGCAAGUCGAGGGACCGGCGCACGGGUGAGUAACGCGUAUCCAACCUUCCCAUGAAUAAGGGAUAACCUGCCGAAAGGCAGACUCAUACCUUAUGGUUAUGGAUGGGGAUGCGUCUGAUUAGUUAGUUGGCGGGGUAACGGCCCACCAAGGCAACGAUCAGUAGGGGUUCUGAGAGGCAGGUACCCCGCGUGGGAGCGAAGCCACGGACCAAUAUGCUACGGGGGGCAGCAGUGAGGAAUAUUGGGGAAUGGGCGAGAGCCUGAACCAGCCAAGUAGAGGGCAGGAGGACGGCCUAUGGGUUGUAAACUGCUUUUGUAUGGGGAUAGGUACCAUACGAAUAAGGACCGGCUAAUUCCGUGCCAGCAGCCGCGGUAAUAC